rnacentral:rRNA from 1 species
GACGAACGCUGGCGGCGUGCUUAACACAUGCAAGUGGUGCGACGAAACAGGCUUCGGCCUGGGGCGAAGCCGCGAACGGGUGAGUAACACGUGGGCAAUCUGCCCCUUUGAUCGGGACAACCCGGGGAAACCCGGGCUAAUACCGAAUUAGGUUGCGACCCAUGAGGGUCGUCACGAAAGGAAGCAUCGGCCUCCGCGAAGGGAGGAGCCAGCGGCCCAUUAGCUUGUUGGUGGGGUAAUGGCCUACCAAGGCAACGAUGGGUAGCUGGUCUGAGAGGACGAUCAGCCACACUGGGACUGAGACACGGCCCAGACUCCUACGGGAGGCUGCAGUGGGGAAUCUUGCGCAAUGAGCGACAGCUUGACGCAGCAACGCCGCGUGAGGGAAGAAGGCUUUCGGGUCGUAAACCUCUUUCAGUUAGGACGAAGCUUUAUUGGUUAAUAACCAAUUGGAGUGACGGUACUUUCAGAAGAAGCCCCGGCUAACUACGUGCCAGCCGCCGCGGUAA